rnacentral:lncRNA from 1 species
GCCCGAAGCCCAGGCCUGUCCAGCCCAGACACAGGAAACGGAGCCAGAGCUUAGGUGUGUUUAUUCCUGUACAAAUCAUUACAAAACCAAGGUUAGGGUAGUGGCCAACAUCCCCCCCUGCCCCAACCUGGGCCCCAAUGUGCAAUGGCUCACUGCUGGCCUCCUCCUCCUCCACCUGACCCCUCCCAUUCCACAGCCUCCACCAGGAAGCCCUCCAGUCUUUCCUUCAAGACUCCAGAAGAGCAGCGUGGGGAAACCCACCCCACUGAGGCCCAGCAAUAAAGUGCCUGGUGUAGAGUGAGGGGACAGAACCCAGGUGACAGCUCCCAGUCCCCUUGAGCCUUUCCAGGCCCAGCGAGGGGGAGGCCCCAGCAGCUGAAGACAAAAGGGCUGCAGGAAAUCUCAGUUGGGCUGGGAUCCCCCCUUUCUCAGCCCCCAAAGCUCCUGAAACAGGUGGAAAACCUCACUGCUGGAUGGCAGAAAAGGGGGCCUGGCUCUUUAAGAGCCAAGCUAAUGGCAGCUGGACAGCGGGGCUAAGAAAACCGCCAAAAGUUUAUCCUUUCCUUUCAAAAUCCCAAAGCCUGAGGGAGCUUGCGUAAAAAUACCUUCAAGUUUCCAGGAGGAGGAGGGAAAGGGAACCCCAGACUCUCAGGAGCUGAGCACCCCAGCAAAGGGUGUGGCUGGAGGAGUCCAGGCUUAACGGAAGGCAGACCCAGGAGGACAGGCCCAAGGUGGUUGCUGAGGAAGGUGGGAGGGUUCUCGGACCUGACACAGACAGAACAAUGCCCAGAGAGGGUUCGUCCAAGGUCACUCAAGGCAGAGCCAAGACCCGACACCAGCCUCCCACUCCUGGGAAGUGAGGGGACAACACAAGGUUCCCAGCUCCUUGGGACAAGACCCCACUGUCCCAACCAACAGGACGUGAUCUGGGGUCCAUCCUGGGGCUCUGAACCAAGGCCUCAUGGGAAAGGACAUGACCUCAGCCUCAGAUUACUCAGAAAUACCCUGAUUGACUCUGCUCAGACCCUGACUGACAAGAAAUACCCUCAACACCUGAUUAACCACAUAGAAGCCCAAAUCCCUGAUUGGCCCAGAGAUUCCCCCCAGGCGCUGAAUGGCUGGAGGAUACACCCUCUUCUGGCCUGAUUGGCCAGAAGACACUCCGGCC